AAGCAACCCCUCCCCCUCCUCCCGCGUCCGCUUUCCCCCCAACCCUAGACUCCUCCCGCCCCCACGCCAGCCUCCACCUCCCCCAGGGGCGCCGGCGAGGCCCCUGGGGAUCGCUCCGCUCUCGGGUUGCGCGCGCGCUUCAUUCACAUUAUCAGAGCGAAGGAAGCCGAGGGAAAGAAAGAUUGGUUCCCUGGAAGGACCCCGGGGAAGCUGCGUCUCCAGUCACCUCUCUUUCCAACCCGGGACAGCCAGGAUCUCCUUAGUCCCCAGGAUUCUGUAUCCCAUUCUGUGGGAUGGAGAUUGCGUCCCCUUUCCUUCUUUCCCCACGGCCUUAUGGCUGUACCUGGUUAUGAAGGUCUAGGCAGGGAUGUACUGUGAGACUCCUCGCGUUUCCAAAGGGCCCAGAUGUGGGUCACAGACGGGAGACAUUCUUUAUGGGCCAAGCCAGAUGAAGAUCACCUCCAUUUCAACCGAAGCAAGCCAAGGGGUUCUAGCAGGCACUGGGGAGCUCUGGACUUCUUCGAAGGGGGACUGAGGAUGUGACACACUACAGUCACACUUCUGAUAGUCCAUUGCUGAUAGAGGCAGGAACACCAGCAACUACAUUGUAGCCUCCAGCUGUUUCUUCUCCCUGUCCUUCUCUGAACCUUUACUUUUUCUCCGGUUGGCUCUUCCUCAGCCUAACCGGCUCUUCCUCACCUCCCCUUAACCUUGUCAGACUCUGCCUCGGGGCCUCUGGCCUCUUCCCUUAAUUGCUUUUGGUGCUGGCAGGGUCCCAAGCUGGAUACACUCCGAGCUCCUUGGAGCCAGGCUCCUUCCUUGCCACCCAGUUCCCCUCCUCCCCUGCAGGAGGCCUGAAACCCACGGGGGGGGGGGGAACUCAGGCCAUUUCUUACACCCUUGUCCCUGUUGCAUCCUCGAGGGUUGUUCUGUGGGCUGCUGUUCUGACCCCCUGGGAUUGAAAGAGACACAUGGAAAGCUGCUGCCCUUGCAAUUUUACCUCCCGGGCCACUUUCCCAGCUUUCCUCAGAGAAAAUAAAUGAAUGACCCCAGCCUCAGAGCACUCACUGUUCUUCCUCUCUGGAGAGUGUGAGCUCCCCCCUCGUAUAUAGCCGUGUGUGGUAGCAAUGUGCAAAUGUUUGCCCUGGGAAAAAUUAUCUUUUGCUGGGAGAAGGGAAUAUAAACAAAUAGAAAAAAAAAACCAGAAUAAUAAAAUGUGAGGGCCAGGCUGACUAGCCCAAUCAGCGUUGCUGGCCUUUUCCUCUGCCUUUGGGGGGUGUCUGUUCUGCUUUCCAAAGUUUCAAAGGACGAGAGUUAUUGCUUUUCUUCCCUUAAAAAAAAUCACUGUCAUCUAGGGCUGUAUUGUCUACCCAGCAGGUGCCUGAUAUCCGGCUGAAUGGACCAGAAGGCAUGUGAUGGUUUCUCCUGUUUCAGGGCAAGGCUGCUCACCUCUGUCUCCAGGAGCCUCCAAGAUGAACUCAAGGUUCUGUGCUCUGAGAGAUUUUUGAUUUUUGGGGGGGGAGUCAGCCAGUCUUUGUUUCAGAGGUAAUCCUUAACAGUGGGCCAACACAAACA
rnacentral:lncRNA from 1 species